AAGUCGUAACAAGGUUUCCGUAGGUGAACCUGCGGAAGGAUCAUUAAUGAAAUUCAGAUGAUGGAACGAAAAGAGAUGGAUCAUGAAUGAAAUGAAUGAUUCAUCCCUUUUCGUAUCCACUCUAUCAACCCCUAUGUGAAUUCAAAGAGAGAGAGAGGAGGGAGGUAAAAGGGGGAAGAUGGAUGAAAAGAAAAGAGGAUGGGAUGGAUGGAUGGAAAAAGAAUGGAUGGAUGCAGAUUGCGUCACAUCAUGAUCUAAUCCCAUCCAUCCUAUCCCCUAAUCUCUACUACCUACCUAUCUAACCCUUUACUUCCUGCUCUUACUCUACUCUUAAUACAUACCAACUCCAAAUUAUAACUUGUCUAAUAUAUUAAUAUUUUAAACUAUUAACAACUUUUAACAACGGAUCUCUAGGCUCUC
rnacentral:misc_RNA from 1 species